rnacentral:lncRNA from 1 species
UACGAUACUUGGUGCUCUAUGUUCAAACUUGGCAUAUUUCUUGAUCAUUUUGCUAUAAUUUUUUUUUUGCAAAAAGAUCAAGAAAUGUGUGAAAUUUGAACAUGUGUAGACUCUUAUAGUGUAGGAAAGCAGAAAAGAAGUUUGGGGGCAAAAAGAAAAAAAAACACUCGGCAAAGUAUGUCUUUGCCUAUUGUCACCACCGAGACACUUGAUAAAGAUUAAAUUCUAGAUUUUUUUUUUAAAAAAGUACGG